GGGCCCAUAGCUCAGUUUGGCAGAGCCACCGGCUCAUAACCGGUAGGUCCCUGGUUCGAUCCCAGGUGGGCCCACCA
rnacentral:tRNA from 1 species